UCCCCUGAAGGGCCGUGGUAGACCACCACGUUGAUAGGCUCCAUGUGUAAGCGCGGUAACGCGUUGAGCUAAGGAGUACUAAUUGCCCGUGUGGCUUGACCAU
rnacentral:rRNA from 1 species